GCAAAAGGGGAAGCAAGGACCUUCUUCGCAUGGCGUCAGGAAUGAGAGGGAAGAGCAGGGGAGACCGCGACUUAUAAAACCAUCAGAUCCCAUGAGAACUCACCCACUAUCGCGAGAACAGCCUGAGGGAACACUAUCAGGAGAACCCCCAUGAUCCAAUCACCUCCCAUCAGGUCCCUCCUCUGACACGUGGGGAUUACAAUUGGAGAUGAGAUUUGGACAGGGACACAGAGCCAAACCAAAUCACUUCAGACAAAAGAGAAGCAAAUUAAAGUCCAUCCCGCCAUCCUUCCAAAGAGCAAAGAAAGUCCAUGGAAAUUCAUCAACAUCCAGGAUGCUCAGGAGCUUCCAGGUUCAAUAGAUGCGUGAGAUCCAUAGCAGAAACAUUGCCGUCCUCUUCAGAUUCAAUUGUGGAACCAGAGGUUGAGCUUGAAGAGUUAACUUUUCCAAGGUCACAAAGUUGGAGAAAACUGGGGCACAGCAGCUUGUUCACAGGGGCAGAGGCAGGAUUUCAACCUAGGAAGUCUUUCUCCAGAAACUACUAAUCACUAAGCUCUACAGGACAUAAGAUCGUACCCGCUUGUUGCCUUUAGUCCACAAAGAACCCUAUAACUAGAAUUAUGACAGCAGUUGUAACCUCUUCAAAAAUCUUACUAUGUCUUGUUGGUGAGAAGAUUGAACAAGAAAUCCCAAGCAAGAAGAGGACAAUUCAGAACACACAGCCCUCCACCACAGAAACCUAUAGACUCAAACAUUUCCUCAAGACACCAAGAAGUUUAAGUUAAGUAUUCUUCUGAUGGAAAAGUUUUUAAAAAAUGAAUAUAAUAUAUAUGUAAUGUUGACAUUUUUAUACCAAAGGCUAUAGCUUAACCUUUUAUAUUAUUGAACCACCUAAAAUAAGUUAACUUUUCACUUGGCAUGACUAUUUUUAUUUAUCUAACCAUGAAUUAGCAACCUCAAAAGGCUUUGCCUUAUUCAUUAUUCAACAUUAAGUAGCCGCUUCUCACUUUGAUGUAGGUUAUUAAUUUAUAGACUGCCUUUAGCUUAAGUCAACUGAUGACAAAGCACAGUUCCAGAAGUAGAUUUUGAAAAUAAGCAGCUUACAGCAGGAGAAUAUUUGUCAGCUUUAAUGUUUACUCAAUAAUUCAGUAAAAGGAAACAACGAAAAGGAAGUUACUGUUAUGUAGAAAAAUAUCUUCUUUACAGUUCUAUUCAAUGAUUAAGCUUUCAUUAAGAAGUAUAAUUUCUGCAACUUAGCUGACAAUGAUGAAGGCUUUGGUGUGCUGGCUAUUACAGAAGGCAGAUCCAAAAUUUGUUUAGAAAUCACAGAGCAACAGUUUUCCUGUUACAAACUCAGAGAACAUCCACUCAAGGUACGAAUGCACAAAACCAAGAGACCAGAUCUGUGUUAUCCCUCCAAAUUAGCAUUUAUAAAAUGGGUUUCAAGGAUUUCCACUCUGUUAUUAAUUAUUAUUCUUCCUCCUCCUUCCCCUCCUCCUUCUCUUCCUCUUCUUCUUCUCUUUCUUUUUUAUACUGAACAGUAAGACCAAAAAAUUUACAAUGUAUGUUAGCAAUCAUCUUGUCCAGUCAUAAUUUUACAGAUAAAUGGUAGUAAAGCCUAUUGGUUAUGAGUGAAGGCUCAGGAGUCAGUCUUAGUCUGCCUGAGUUCAAAUCCUGGCUCAACCGCUUUCCACCUGUGCAACCUUUGGACAGGUGAUUUACUUGUCUGUACUUUAUUUAUUUGAGCAGUAAAAUCAAUGUUACGGGCUCUUGAAAGUAUUUACAGAAUUGAGUUAUUAUGAUAAAUAAACAAGGCUGUACAUAAGUAUUAGAUGUGUUAUUACAAAUGGGAGAGCUGAGGUUGUGAGCAGUUAAGGAAUUUGUGUAGGUUCCUCAGCUAGUCAGCUGUGGAGUCCAAGUCUUCUUAUUCCCAUCCGAGACUCCAUAUUCUACAAGUGAACAGUAUGGUAGUGGACAUAGAUCCUUUCUGCCUAAACAGCAUCCAUUCCUCCUUCUUCUGGUAAUAGCAACCUAGCACUUACUUUGGAGAGCCACCUGACCCCAAUUUUUAGUGUAUGUACAUCAACUUAAUGUGGGAGGAGUGCGAGGGUGUCACUCAACCCAAGCCUGGCCAGUCAGAGGAUUCCAUCACCCUGGCCAUAAAGUUUGGUUCAGGAGGGGAAUAUAACUUCAGAUCAGUGAGAUGCCAUCCAGGCUGUCUCCUGGAACAAUUGGGGAAAAGAUAACCUUUUUCCUUUGGGCAUGUGACUAUUAAGAUGUAAGUUCAGAGACUCUGCUAGCCAUCUUGCUGCUAAGAAGGGAAAGCCUAGGUAAAAAAGAAGCCAACAGAGAGGGAAAGAUAGCUCAUAAUUGGAGAGAGAAAUAUUCCUGAUGGCAUCUCUGGUGUGCUUGGAUUGAGCCAUACCUGUAGGAAGGGGAGAUCUAUCUUUGGACUUGUCAGUUAGUUCAGCCAAUAAAGUGGCUGCUGUCACUUACAUUGAAAAAUACUGACUUACACAGGCAUUAAAAAAAUAUGCCACACAGUUCUCACUUCAGGAACCAGCUUGAGUAUUUCCUUGUAUGAAAAUACUCUGAAACCCAAAUCUUCCUGUUACAACAUGAGAGUAAUUUUGGCAGUCCUCCUUACUUCAUGAUAUUUUGAUAUUGUCUUGGUUAGGUGAGCAAUAUUGAGAAGAAGUAUAGGGUGGGCCUGGAGUCAGAUCUGAGUUGGAAUCCCAGACCUUCUUCUGGUCAGCUCCCUUCUCCUUGGCUAACCACUUAAUCUCUGUAAGCCUUAGUUACCUUGUCUGAAUAGACUUAUUGCAAGGGCUCAAUAAGAUAAUGUAUGCAAAAUACUAACAUUAAGAAGACAGUAAUGAUAAUGCUAAAAUGACUAACAUUUAUUGAUGUUAACUGAGUGCUAGACUCUGCUGAGCACUUUAAAUGAGUACCUCAUUUACUACCCAUAAUGACCUUGUGUGGUAAGAGUGCCAUUCCUCAUUUUGCAGUUGAGAAAACUGAGAGACAGAGAGGUUAAGCAUUUUGCACAAAUCUGGACAGCUAGUGAGUGAUGGUGCCACAACUCUUAUUUCAGAAGCCAAGCUCAUGACUACGUUGUGAAAUUGCAUCUCAUCUUAUCCAAUAACAAUUAGAUGUUUAGGUUGUUGCUACUGAUGACUGACUCCUGACAAAAGUUCAAAAGCUGACUUUGAUUCUGAAGUAGUGAUUUUUUUAAGAGACAGAGUCUUGCUAUGUUGCCCAGUCUGGAGUGCAGUGGCUAUUCACAGGUCCAAUCAUAGCACACCAUAGCUUUAAAUCCUGGGCUCAAGUGAUCCUCCUGCCUUGGCCUCAAGAGUAGCUUGGUGAAGUAAUGAUUUUGAAGCAAUUAAGCUGAAAGGCUCAAGGAUGAAUAGUGUGGCCAUAGGGUCUCCUUUAGAGGAGUUCAGAAAGUCAGGAGUGGAGUUGAGUGAGAAGAAACAAGAGUUAUUUUGGGAAAGUUAUGGUAACCUCUCUGAGUCUUGGCCUCCUCAGCUAUAAAAUGGUUUUACCUAUGCCCCAGGUUUUUGUAAGGGUUAAAAGAGAUCAUUACGAAAAGCACUUAGCAGGUUGCCUGGGGAUCACCAUUACCAUCAUCAUCAUCAUCACCAACAAUGCCUAUACAAACGGGCAGAUCUUGGUCUGAAGUUUACAUAUACUCACUGAAUUUGGUUUUCCUUAGUGAUCUUUCUUGGUGAACAGAUCUUGUCUUCACAGUUUAAAUGAAAAGCAAAGCAAAACAAAAACAAAAACGGAAAUGAAAAAUCUGCAACCUAAGAGAUUCUGUUUAUUAGCUGCCUCCUAACAGCAAGCAAAAUAGCCCAGGAAGAGCUUCUGGAAAAAAAAAGACUGAGGUGGGUUCUGCAUAAGUGUCUUUCCCUAUGCACUGCUCUACAUCUCUGCGGUGGACACAUCACAUAGAGCCCUGAGAAAUCACAUGGGGAAGAGAGCAAAAUGUCAGCACAAGAAAGCUGCUCAGUAACUAAAGACCAACUGUGUCCCUCAUACAGUUCUUUCUAGACAAAGAGCUCACUGGGCCUUGACCCUCCCCAAAUGUGCCUAAAUGGUCAUUUUUAGGCUCUUGCUUAUAUUUCAGUGAAAUGGUCUAUACUGGGGGCCAAAUACAGCUCCAUCUCCCCAUUUUGCUCAUCUGUCCUCUUCCAGGUGACAUGUUCACAAACACACUCCUCCUCCCAGAGGAAUUGCUGUCCUUGUCCCCUCUUUUCCUUACCACCUCCACUCAACAGCAGAACAGUAAGGGACAGUACCUUGGCACCCUGCUUGUGAUAGGUGAACAUCUCCUGGUGAGUGCUACUCAGGGACCAAAGCUCUGCCUGCCAGGAAAAGUGUGAAGAUGAGCACCCUUGGUCUUGUUGGGUGGAGCAGAAAGGAGGACUGUAGGAACCACUUUACGUGUAGUGUGCAGCAUCUAACUGGGAGAUUGAGAGAAAAGGGGGAAUUGAUUCCAGUUGUUUUCAGAUGACUUUUUUCUAUUCCCUCUUUCUUUCUCCAGAGAUUCACAGUUUAUUUCUGGUCAUCUGCUCCACCUGGGACAGGUUUAUAACUCCCCUUGAAGAUAACACCAAGAACAGAGGGUGGACAGUCUUGAAAUUGGUGUUGUGCCUGCUUCUUUUGUUCAUCUGUCACAGGAAGACAAAUCUUGUGGUCUGUCCUGCUUGGCUUGGUGACAUACUUUCAAAAUUUACAAAUACUCUAUUAGUAAGAAUAAACAACAUAAACAAAAGUCCC